GGUGAAUGCGUAGAGAUAUGGAGGAACACCMGUGGGCGAAGGCGACUUYUGGUCUGUAACUGACACUGAGGCGCGAAAGCGUGGGGAGCAAACAGGAUUAGAUACCYGGUAGUUCACGCCGUAAACGAUGAGUGCUAAGUGUUAGAGGGGUUCCGCCCUUUAGUGCUGAAGUUAACGCAUUAAGCACUCCGCCUGGGGAGUACGGCCGCAAGGCUGAAACUCAAAGGAAUUGACGGGGGCCCGCACAAGCGGUGGAGCAUGUGGUUUAAUUCGAAGCAACGCGAAGAACCUUACCAGGUCUUGACAUCCUCUGAAAACCCUAGAGAUAGGGCUUCUCCUUCGGGAGCAGAGUGACAGGUGGUGCAUGGUUGUCGUCAGCUCGUGUCGUGAGAUGUUGGGUUAAGUCCCGCAACGAGCGCAACCCUUGAUCUUAGUUGCCAUCAUUAAGUUGGGCACUCUAAGGUGACUGCCGGUGACAAACCGGAGGAAGGUGGGGAUGACGUCAAAUCAUCAUGCCCCYUAUGACCUGGGCUACACACGUGCUACAAUGGACGGUACAAAGAGCUGCAAGACCGCGAGGUGGAGCUWAUYUYAUAAGACCGUUCUCAGUUCGGAUUGUAGGCUGCAACUCGCCUACAUGAAGCUGGAAUCGCUAGUAAUCGCGGAUCAGCMUCCCCGGUGAAUACGUUCCCGGGCCUUGUACACACCSCCCGCCCCCACGAGAGUUGUAACACCCGAAGUCGGUGGGGUAACCU
rnacentral:rRNA from 1 species